GAUGAACGCUAGCUACAGGCUUAACACAUGCAAGUAGAGGGACCGGCGCAUGGGUGAGUAACACGUAUCCAACCUGACCUUAACUCGGGGAUAGCCUUUCGAAAGAAAGAUUAAUACCCGAUAUAAAGGAUGGGGAUGCGUUCCAUUAGGUUGUUGGUGAGGUAACGGCGCACCCAUCAUUCGAUGGAUAGGGGUACUGAGCGGAAGGUCCCCCACAUUGUAACUGGAACACGGUCCAAACGCCUACGUGAGGCAGCAUUGAGGAAUAUUGGUCAAUGGGCGCUAGCCUGAACCAGCCAAGUAGCGUGAAGGAUGAAGGCUUAUGGGUCGUAAACUUCUUUUAUAUAAGAAUAUGUAUUAUAUGAAUAAUGAUCGGCUCACUCCGUGCCAGCAGCCGCGGUAGUUC
rnacentral:rRNA from 1 species